rnacentral:tRNA from 1 species
GAGGGUACAGCUCAGUGGAGAGCAUGUGCUUAGGAUGCACAGGGUCCUUGGUUCAAUCCUUAGUACUUCCA